rnacentral:rRNA from 1 species
UACGAAGGGGGCUAGCGUUGCUCGGAAUCACUGGGCGUAAAGCGCACGUAGGCGGAUUGCUAAGUCAGGGGUGAAAUCCUGGAGCUCAACUCCAGAACUGCCUUUGAUACUGGCGAUCUCGAGUCCGGGAGAGGUGAGUGGAACUGCGAGUGUAGAGGUGAAAUUCGUAGAUAUUCGCAAGAACACCAGUGGCGAAGGCGGCUCACUGGCCCGAUACUGACGCUGAGGCACGAAAGCGUGGGGGAGCAAACAGG